CUUCUCCAUAGGUUUACCCUCACGCUCUUUCCUUCUCUAUAUCCCCCAUUCUCCUUUCUCUUUCUCUCUCUCUCUCUCUCUCUCUCUUUCUUUUUCUUUCACUCGCCGCGAUCGCGCCGUGAAUCGAGUUUUAUUCCUUUGAAAGCUGCCGCCGCCGACAAGAUAUGUAACAUAAGCGUAAAGAAAUCGUCCUGAUUCUCUUCUGUUAAAAGUUUCUUUUUUUUUAAUUCUUAUUUUCUUUUUCUUUCGUAAAUACGUGCCGUAAAUACGCACGUAGUUUAACGCGCGUACCAGUACUCUCGAACGGCGACUGGCGAGGAACACACUGCGAUCGUUUGUUGUUUCUCGUCGCAACGGGGGGAGGGGAGAAAAUCGGUAGCGCAAGAGGGGCUCGACUGCGGAUGCCGGGGGCUCGUCGUACUUUUACGGAGAGGGAACACGUCCAAGAGAGAAAAAGAGAGGGGAAGGGCACGAAACGAAGAGGGGAACCAGAUGUGAUCUCUCCCACCUCGUCUACAUAUUUUUUAACUACAUACAAUACGCUACGCAAACGCAAGGCGAGUUCCUGCCUACCUACGUGGCUGCAUAUGCUAAUGUUCCCGCGUCCUCUUCACCGUACCAGAAGCAGUUCACGGACCAGAUGUGCAGCAUGAUGCAACAGUUGUAACUUCUGCUUCAGAAAAGCAACGCGAUAUUGUAUGCUUUUCGUCGACCGUCUAUGUAUCUUGACGAUUACGAUAUCCGUCUUCCUCAACUCUGCAAGGACGAUUUCAAAUAUGGACUUGCUUAAUAAAAAUGUAAUUUAAAGGAGAAAAAAAAAAGAAGGAAA